rnacentral:rRNA from 1 species
AUUGCCUCAGUAACGGCGAGUGAAGCGGCAACAGCUCAAAUUUGAAAUCUGGCCGCAAGGUCCGAGUUGUAAUUUGCAGAGGAUGCUUUUGGCGAGGUGCCUUCCCGAGUUCCCUGGAACGGGACGCCAUAGAGGGUGAGAGCCCCGUACGGUCGUGCCACCGAGCCUCUGUAAAGCUCCUUCGACGAGUCGAGUAGUUUGGGAAUGCUGCUCUAAAUGGGAGGUGUACGUCUUCUAAAGCUAAAUACCGGCCAGAGACCGAUAGCGCACAAGUAGAGUGAUCGAAAGAUGAAAAGCACUUUGAAAAGAGGGUUAAAAAGUACGUGAAAUUGUUGAAAGGGAAGCAUUCAUGACCAGACUUGGGCUUGGUUGAACAUCCGGCGUUCUCGCCGGUGCACUCUGCCAGCUCAGGCCAGCAUCAGUUUGCCCCGGGGGAUAAAGGCGGUGGGAAUGUAGCUCCCCACGGGGAGUGUUAUAGCCCGCCGUGUAAUGCCCUGGGGCGGACUGAGGUUCGCGCUUCGGCACGGAUGCUGGCGUAAUGGUCAUCAAUGACCCGUCUUGAAACACGGACCAAGGAGUCGUCUUCGUAUGCGAGUGUUCGGGUGUCAAACCCCUACGCGUAAUGAAAGUGAACGUAGGUGAGAGCUUCGGCGCAUCACCGACCGAUCCUGAUGUUCUCGGAUGGAUUUGAGUAAGAGCAUACGGGGCCGGACCCGAAAGAAGGUGAACUAUGCCUGUAUAGGGUGAAGCCAGAGGAAACUCUGGUGGAGGCUCGCAGCGGUUCUGACGUGCAAAUCGAUCGUCAAAUAUGGGCAUGGGGGGCGAAAGACUAAUCGAACCUUUCUAGUAGCUGGUUUCCGCCGAA